rnacentral:lncRNA from 1 species
GGGCAUCUUCUCUGCUCUUUGUAUACUCUCUGGAUUAUGCCAGGACCCGGUUAGCUAAUGAUGCUAAGGCUGCCAAGAAGGGAGGUGAAAGGCAGUUCAAUGGCCUUGUUGAUGUUUACAGAAAAACCAUACAAUCUGAUGGUGUUGCGGGUCUCUAUCGAGGCUUCAACAUUUCAUGUGUCGGUAUCAUUGUUUAUCGAGGGCUCUACUUUGGAUUGUAUGAUUCUCUGAAGCCAGUGAUGCUGGUUGGCUCCUUGCAGGUGAGUCAUGAAAGAUAUUGCAGAAACAUGUCCUGAAAAUGCAACUAUUGCUUUCAACCCAAGUUACAUGAUAACAUAUUAGUGCAUCUCUUUAUUGCCUUGAUCGUUUGCUUUACUACUAAGUACACACAUUGAUUCUAGAAUCUAUGUCAGUGUAUGUCAUUUAAAGUUUUCUUUGUUUGGCAGUCAUUACUUUAUCUUGUCAUGGUACCUUAUACCUGUAUAGGUUUCCAUUUAACAAAGGUGCAUUUUACCCAUGACAAAGAAAUGAUGCAACUACAUAUUGAGGGAAUUUUGAGUGCACUGAGAAAUUUUGGCGAGUUACUGAGUAUAAUGCAGUGGGAUUAUUUACAUGCUAUGAUGUAAUUUUGAGCUACUUAGUACUAUGUCUAGAUCAAUCCAUAGUGAGCUACUGGAAUAAGAUCAUUAUUGAUGCAUUGUUUAAUCUAGAUAUGCCCUUUGUAAACAUUGGAUGUUGCCACUUGCAGAAAAUUGAUGCAUAAUAUACUAGAAUGUUAUCUUCAUACCUUCUAAAUCCAGGCUAUGAUGUUAUGAAACAAUUAUCAGUAUCAUAUUCAAAGUUAAAUAAGAGGAAUCUUAUGAUGUGUUUGCCAUUCAGGAUAAUUUCUUUGCAAGUUUCUUGCUUGGUUGGGGAAUUACAAUUGGUGCUAGUCUUGCUUCCUACCCAUUAGACACUGUCCGUCGGAGGAUGAUGAUGACCUCAGGAGAAGCCGUCAAGUACCGGAACUCUAUGGAUGCCUUCUCGCAGAUCGUAAAGAAUGAGGGUGCAAAAUCCCUCUUCAAGGGUGCCGGUGCAAAUAUCCUACGUGCCGUCGCUGGCGCGGGUGUUCUGGCUGGUUAUGACAAGCUCCAGGUGAUCGUCUUGGGAAAGAAGUAUGGGUCUGGUGGUGGUGGCUAAGUUUAUCCAACUUUGCCUUACGA